rnacentral:rRNA from 1 species
CGCCUCUUGACAUCUAUAAGAGGUCUAGCCUGCCCAGUGAUAAAUUCAACGGCCGCGGUAUCCUAACCGUGCGAAGGUAGCAUAAUCACUUGUUCUUUAAAUAGGGACUCGUAUCAACGGCAUCACGAGGGUUACACUGUCUCCUCCCUCCAAUCAGUGAAACUGAUCCCCCCGUGAAGAAGCGGGGAUGAACUAAUAAGACGAGAAGACCCCAUGGAGCUUUAAAUCUCACAGCAACUCUAACACUUAAUCCCUCACAACCCACAGAGCAAUGCAUGUCGGUUUUAGGUUGGGGUGACCGCGGAGCAAAAAUUACCCUCCACGACGAAAAGAACUAAGCCUUUAUCUAAGAGCAACUCCUCUAAGAACUAGUAUACUAACGAACAAUGACCCGAUAAUCGAUCAACGGACCAAGUUACCCUGGGGAUAACAGCGCAAUCUACUUCAAGAGCCCAUAUCGACAAGUAGGCUUACGACCUCGAUGUUGGAUCAGGGUACCCCGGUGGUGCAGCAGCUACUAACGGUUCGUUUGUUCAACGAUUAAAACCCU